GCCACAUUUAAGCAGGCUGGAAGCAUAUGUAGUUCAGUGGUAGAGCAUGUGCCUACCAUGUACAAUGUCCUGGGUUAAAUCCCCAGCACCAAAAGGAGAAGUAAAAAAAAAAAAAAUUCAAGUCAUUUUUACUAAAAACGUGUGUAUCAGGAAGAAAAGUUGCACUAGAAUAGAUGGCCACAAACACCCAACUGACUUUUGGUCAAUUUCUUGAUCUCUGUGGUGUCUUUUCUGCCUGUUAGAUUUGAGAAAGUGUUUCAGAUGAGCAUGGCUGAGGCUGCCUGUAGUCUAGCUGUUCAGAAAGCCAAGGCAAGAGUAUCACUUGAGCCCAGGAUUUGGGGGCCACCCUAGGCAACAGAGUGAGACCUUGCCUAUUGGUGGGGGAAAAAAAGAUGGAGAGUGAAUAUUUUAUGUGAAAGCAGAUCCAGCCAAAAGGAUAGGGGUACAAUAACUUCAGUUUUUAUCUAAGGCAUAUCAGGAUAGCCAGAGACACAAAGUACCCCCCUGAUACUGCAUGGAUUGGAAUUGCCCUAAUGAAUUUUUAAGACUUACAGAAGACCCUUUCACUUAUCAGGAUUUAUGACCUAAUCUAAGACACCCAACGUUGAGAAAUCACCAUUUUAUGGAACUCUGACCUACUUUUGUCAGAUGUAUUUAUAUCAUAUAUACUGAGAAAUGGAAAUAUUACUCUACUCUGCCCUAAUAAUGCCAAAUGAAAGUAAUAAGUGCCUGAUAAAUGCAAAAUUAAGACCAUUUCUAUAGCACAAAAAAUGAAAAAAUAUAUGUUUGGCAGGGGUACUGUGGAUUGAAACCAGGGGCACUUAACCACUAAGCCACAUCGCCAGCCCUUUUUUAUAUUUCAUUUAGAGACAGGGUCUCACUGAGUUGCUUAGUGCCUCACUUUUGCUGAGGCUGGUUUUGAACUUGUGAUCCUCCUGCCUGAGCCUCCUGAGCCACUGGGAUUACAGGUAUGUACCACCUCGCCCAGCCUUAUGUACUUUCCCUAUAACUUCAGUAUGAAAUAGAGCUGCAGGGAGUAUCUUUUGAACAUCUGCUGUGUGGCAGGUCCUCUACUAAUUGCUUGACCUUUUUUUAGGGGUGUGUGUGUGUGUGUGUGUGUGUGUAUGUGUAUGUGUGUGGUGCUGAGGAUUGAUCCCAGGGCCUUGUGCAUGCAAGGCAAGCACCCUACCACCUGAGGUAUAUCCCCAGCCCCUGCUUGACAUCUUAUUUCUACAUGUGGUGGCCCUUCCAGAGGUCUUCCUUUGGAAGGGGAAGGGGACAGAAACGGGAAGGGCUGUAAUGACUGUACCUGCUGUGUUUCCACAGUUGUUGAUCUGGUCAUUUAGUAGCCAGUCAAGAGGUGAAGGUCUUGCUCAUAUUUCUGGUACAUUCUUUUCCUCUAGCUUGUCUGCCUUCCUCUUUUAGAAUAUCUUUUAGGGCACUGCUUGACUAUUUCAUGUUCACUGGUUUUGAACUUUCCACUUUCUUUGAUGUUUCCAAUGCUUGUUGUCAUUAAGUUAUAAAUCGCACCUUUUUAAAAAAGAAAAAAGCUUCCAGACUUCUGAUAAUCUAAUAAAUGUAAGUAAUUUUUCAUAUGUUGAAAUCCAGUCUAUAAAAUUUAAGUAGCAAACUAUUUAUAAAGGCCUUAAGAAGGCAAUUCAUCACUUAAAUUCCCCAACAAUACUGUUGUAAAUCUGGAAAACUUAUCCCCCAGUGCCAAAUGAUAGUUUGAAAUGGGCUUUGUAGUCAGUUCUAGGUGACCUUGUGGUCAGUGCUGUUCUAUAGAAGUUAAGGUUUCUCCAGCUUGAUUAAAUAAUUAGACGAGUCACAGAAGUCUAUGGAGCUGGGUGAAACAUUUGGUACAGUUUCCAGUCAGAGCAGAUACUCAGUGAACGAUUAUCAAAGCAACUACAUCAUGCUAAGCACAGGAAAAGAAGAACUCUCAAGAAUUCUUUUUUUCUUUUUUCAUGUGUCAAAUUUUUCCUUUUUUACUGUGAUAAAUAUAUAUAUAUAUAACAAAAUUACCAUUUUAACCCUUUUUAGGUGUGCAGUUCAGUGACACUGAGUACACACACAGUGUCACGUUACCACUACUGAUUUCUACAAAUUUUUAUCAUCCCUGAUGAACUCCUUUCUAUAUGCCUCUAAAUUUACCUGUUCUACGUACCUGACAUAAACGGGAUGGUACAGUAUUUGUCUUUUUGUGUCUAGCUUUUUAUUGGUAGAUUAUAAUUAUACGUAAUAGUGGGCUUUGUUGUAACAUUCAUACAGUCACAUGAUGUCAUUAGCUUGUUUCAUUUAGCUUAAUGUUUUCAAAACUCGUCCAUGUUGUGGCAUUUUACAGAAUUUUAAUCCUUUUGAGACUAAAAUUCCAUUGUGUGCAUAUAAACCAUAUUUUGUUUAUCCAUUCAUCUGAUAGAUACCUGGGUUAUUUCCAUUAUUUGGCUAUUGUGAACAAUGCAGCUAUGAAUACUCAUGUACAAGUAUCUGAAUGCCUGCUUUAUAUUUGGAUUUUAUACUUAGGAGUGGAAUGGCUGUUUCAUAUGGUAAUGUUAUUUUUUAACUUUAUGAGAAACCACCAAAAGUUUGAAUUGGAUAAAUUUAAAAAGUUCCUAGAACAAGGUGCCAGCUCCCUGGGAAAUCACAGUCUCAGGGGUAGUGUUUUCCUAACAGACCUAUAUGUGAUUCAUUGGCCUCUGAUUCAUGCCUUUUAUUCAUUCUUUCCUAAAACAUUUAUUGAGCACCUGCUAUGGCCCAGACCUGAUUUUGAAAUAGACUAGAGAGAGAGAAGUUCAGUUGAGUGCAGGACACAGCUGCUUUCCAGUGCUUAAGUGCUAUGAUAAAAGAGAUGCUAACAUGAGAAAGAGGGGUCUUUCCCAGAGAGGAUCCCUGCCUUAGUCUUGCUGGAGGAGCAUGAGAUAGCAAAUUGAAGAGGAAGUGAAAGAAUUGCAGAGUAUGUCAUGUGCAGAGGGUCAGAAGAGGAACACUGGGACAUUUAGAAGAUCAGAAUAGGCCAGCACGGCUGAAGCAUAGGCUAUAGGGAAGGGUAUGGAGAAAGAGGCAAAGGGCAAAUCAGGAAGGACAUCAUAAGCUAUAGAAAAGAUUUGGGUUUCUUUCUGAAGAUAAUGAAGAGAUAGAGGUUUUUGUUGUGACAAAGAAGUGACAUAAUUUUUUUAAAUGCUUUAUAAGACCUGACAGUUUGCAAACCACAACAAUCUCUCUUGAGAGUGUUAAGGCGAUGGUAAUGGGGACCGAAAAGGUGCAGUGUUGGGGUGUUUCGGAGGUAGAGUGAAUAGGACUUCUGACUAACUUAGAUGGCAAGGAGAAGAGGAAUGCAGGAUGACUCCUGCUCCAGAAUUGGCCAACCUGGAUAAUACUGAGUUCAAGAGCAGGGAGAUGCCUGGUUUUGGUGGUGAUAAGGAGGCAGAGAGAAAAGAUGAGAAGGGCUGGGGCUCCAUGGGAACGCACUCGCCUAGCACGCAUGAGGCACUGGGCUCAAUCCUCAGCACCACAUAAAAAAAAAUAAGAAGAAGAAGGUGAGUAGGAAAUUAGCUUCAUUUUGAGUUUAGAAUGCAUGUUGAAUAUCCAAGUGCAGCUGUGGGUUUAGAUGGCACUUAGGAGAGAAAUAGGAACUGAAGAUAGAGGUGUGGGAACUGUCACUAUACAUAAUGGUAAUUGAGGGUGUGAAAAAUGGAGCGAAUACAGGCUGGAAAUUUGAAUUUUACCCAGGUAUGGGGCAAGAGCUUUGCAAGAGGAAUGGCCAUGGGGGCGAGUAGACAACCAGAAGAGUGGGGACUCAUGGAAGCCUAGAAUAUGCCAGGUUUCACACAGAAAUAAAUCACAUAAACUCAUGUCUCAGGCUAAUAGUAUUCCAACUAUAUUGUUUUGAGAUACUUCAUUAAUACUUGAUUUUUAAAAUAUAUUUUACUUUAAAGGAGUUAAAGGCCAACAAACAAAUAUAUGUUUUAUAGCAGUUUAAAACACUGAAAUCCAGCAAAGAUCAGAGCCAGGUUAACUGCUUUUGUGCAGAUGCCAGAAUAAGCCAUCCUUGGUGAACUGAAGAGCUUCCCUGGUAUUUCAAGGUGAGCUGGUAAAGAAUUGCUGCUGUUUCUCAAUGUGAAUCAGGCCCUUCCCAAUGCAUGCAAACUGGAUAAGAAUGUAGAAAUGGCGUCCACAGAAGAUUAACUCUGUCUUCUGUAGACCCAGUCUUAAAUGUUUAUGGAAAUAGCUUUAUUUUUCUUACUGACUUACUGAUUGGACUAAAUGUUGUACCAAUAUUUCUGUUAACAUGGUGGACUUAAUGUGGUUAUUUUCAAAAGGGAUGUGAAGACUACAGCCAAAAAGAAGUUAACUAGAACCACUUUCUAUGGCUCAUCUGCCUCUCUAUAGAGUCAACUUCUAGAGGCUUAAGUGUAUUAUGUGUAUCUUUAAAUAUGUUAUUUUGGAACCGAAUUCAUCAUAGGACCAGGUGAUUUUUGCAUUUGCAUUGCUAUAGAAAGUUUAGACCGUCUGCAUUUCUGUUAUCUUGAAUGAUCUUUACUCUUUUUUCUUACUGAUACAUAAAUAAAUAACUGCAUACAUAUUAUCUUGGAUAGAAAUUAUCUCAAAUUGAUGGCAAAAAGUGCUCUUUGUAUUUGGUUUUAGACUGCUGCAUGGUAUUUGUUUUUUGGUUUUUUUUUUCUUUUUUUAUUUCUGGUUUAAGUUACAUUUAAACUUAGUCUGAAUUCCUUGAGUAGAUAUGAUCUGUGCUACUUCAGCAACAAAUUGAGCAUGUUUGACAGUCCAGGAAGAAAAAAGGAGCUACCAAUAUUCAUGAUUGGCUCCAA
rnacentral:lncRNA from 1 species